rnacentral:rRNA from 1 species
AACGAACGCUGGCGGCAUGCCUAACACAUGCAAGUCGAACGAGACCUUCGGGCCUAGUGGCGCACGGGUGCGUAACGCGUGGGAACCUGCCCUUAGGUUCGGAAUAACUCCCCGAAAGGGGUGCUAAUAGCGGAUAAUGUCUUCGGACCAAAGAUUUAUCGCCUUUGGAUGGGCCCGCGUUGGAUUAGCUAGUUGGUAGGGUAAAAGCCUACCAAGGCGACGAUCCAUAGCUGGUCUGAGAGGAUGAUCAGCCACACUGGGACUGAGACACGGCCCAGACUCCUACGCGAGGCAGCAGUGGGGAAUAUUGGACAAUGGGCGAAAGCCUGAUCCAGCAAUGCCGCGUGAGUGAUGUAGGCCUUAGGGUUGUAAAGCUCUUUUACCCGGGAUGAUAAUGACAGUACCGGGAGAAUAAGCGCCGGCUAACUACGUG